rnacentral:rRNA from 1 species
UACGAAGGGGGCUAGCGUCGCUCGGAAUCACUGGGCGUAAAGCGCACGUAGGCGGAUUGUUAAGUCAGGGGUGAAAUCCUGGAGCUCAACUCCAGAACUGCCUUUGAUACUGGCGAUCUCGAGUCCGGGAGAGGUGAGUGGAACUGCGAGUGUAGAGGUGAAAUUCGUAGAUAUUCGCAAGAACACCAGUGGCGAAGGCGGCUCACUGGCCCGGUACUGACGCUGAGGUGCGAAAGCGUGGGGAGCAAACAGG